UACGUAGGGUGCGAGCGUUGUCCGGAAUUAUUGGGCGUAAAGAGCUUGUAGGCGGUUUGUCGCGUCUGCUGUGAAAAUCCGGGGCUCAACCCCGGACUUGCAGUGGGUACGGGCAGACUAGAGUGUGGUAGGGGAGACUGGAAUUCCUGGUGUAGCGGUGAAAUGCGCAGAUAUCAGGAGGAACACCGAUGGCGAAGGCAGGUCUCUGGGCAGUAACUGACGCUGAGGAGCGAAAGCAUGGGUAGCGAACAGGAUUAGAUA
rnacentral:rRNA from 1 species